UUUCACUACAAAAAACCAGCGCAGUUCUGGCGCCCAUCUCCCGGCGGCCAGGCCGACGGAAGGUUACACUUGUCCGCCUGCAUAAUUUUCCCUCGUAAAUGAGAGAAAUGAGCUGGCGGCCAGGCCGACGGAAUAUUUUUUUGUAAAAAAUGUCAGUGGCCUGGCCGCCAGCUCCAAUUUCACCAACGGUCGGGAAGAAGUGAUCCAGCGGCCUAGCCGCCGGCAUACUAUAACCGUCAACGGUCGGGAGAAAAAUAGCUGGCGGCUUGGCCGCUGGAUACUUUUUCCCGCUUGUUUUUUUCAGUAGCCGGCGGCCUGGCCGCCAGGAUUUUUGGGGAACCCUAAUUUUUACCACUUGCACCGCCGUGGUCCUCCGUACAGUCAAACAUAGUCAAACGAAACUUAAGUAUUUCCGAGCGGCCUGGCCGCCAGGAUUUUUUAUAUAUAUAUAAAAAAUUCCAGACUUUUCUCAUUUCUCCCAAACUCUCCCAACGUCUCCCCACUUCUCCAAACUCCUCCCAACUUCUCCAAUCUUCUCCAAACUUCUCCCAAGUUGUCCAAACUUCUCCCCAAGGGCGUUUAUACCAUCUCCGGCCGAUUUGAUCGAGCACCUCCGGCCAUUCCUUCCCAAGGUAAUUUUCUCCCCUUCUUCUUCAACUUCAUCUUCUUCUUCAUCUUCUCCAUGUUAUAAUUUAUAUCAUCUUUUCCUAUUCUUCUACAUUUUCUAUAUAUGUAUGUAUUUGGUGGUUUAUAUAUUGGGGUUAGAUGUUAGGUUGAUUUAUUUUUUUGAUUUUGGGGUUUUGAUUUUGGGGGUUUGAUUUUGGGGUUUUGAUUUUGGGGUUUUGAUUAGAUCGAUAUUAAAUUGAAUUUAUAAUUAGUAACUUUUUUAUUAAGUUAAUAUGUAUUAUUAUUUACCUCUUGCUCAACUUGUCCCAACUCUCAAGCUUACAAUUCAUUAGUACAUUAUAUUAUUUAAUUGUAGUUGAUUUUUAAAAUAUUAACUAUAUUUGACUGUAUCAUUAUCUACUGGAUUGGUUACAAUUUUUUAAUGGACGGAUUGACACCCAAAGAUUGGGUUACUAUUAUUAUUGGGUUACUAUUACUAUUAUGGUUACUAUUAUUAUUAGGUAUCCUAAUUACAUAUAUACUUAAUACAUAAUUAGGACUAUUAUUUAUAUAUGAAUCGUUAGGAUACUUUAUACUUAAUUAGGAUACAAAAUUAGGACUAUUAUUAUUAUCACCGUUAUUUUAUAUAUGAAUCGUUAAAUUGACCAAAUAUACUAAAUUUAAUUCAUAACUUACUAAGAGCUAUUGGGCUCACUUAAUUAAAUGGUACAUUUACAUUUUGUAAGUUGUAAGUCAGUUAGUGUUUUAGUAUAAUUAUUGUGACUUAAUUUAGUGUAAUUUAUUUUAAUUGACUUUAUUUUAAUUCUAUUUUAAUUUAGUGUACUGUUUUUAUUGAGUGUUAUGAUUUUAAUUUAGAUUUUGAAUAUUUAGGUUUAUGUAUAUAUGUUGGUUUUCAAUAUUUAGGUUUAAUUCAUUUUAAUUUAGUGUUUGUUUAUGUACUGUUGGUUUUGUAUUGGUAAUUCAUUUUAAUUCAUUUUGUAGUAUUUUAAUUUUAUAUGUUAAAAUUAUUUUAGGUUGAAGGUUUGUUUUGCGGAUUUACAAAUUUGUGAUUUGAAGGCCGGUGUUAGUUUUGAAGGUUUGUGAUUUACAAAUUUAAUGUCUUUUGAUAUUAUGUAUGUGUUAAUCGAUAUAGUUUGUGAUAUGUUAUGUGUGUGUAUUUUGCUUUAGGUAUUUGCGGAUUAUAGGAAUUGAUCGAGAUUAUUCAUUAAUUUGAGAUUAUUCAUUUGCGGUUUGGCGGAUCAAUCUAAUAAUUUUUAUUCAUUUAAAUUUAUUUAAUCUAAUUAGUUAAUCUAAUUUGCAUGUUAGUUAGCAAUUAGUUAAUCUAAUUUGCAUGCUAAGUAAUAGUAAAAUGAAAUGCAUAUUCUUAAAUUGUGUGAAUUGAAAAUGAAUGCAAAUUUUUUGAAAUGAAUGCUAUAAAAUGAAAUGUCAUGAAAUGAAUUAAAAUGCAUGAUUUAAAAAGAAUUCAUGAGUUGAAAUGAAAUUUAAAUUUAAAUAAAUGAAAUAAUUAGUUUCUAUAAAUUUAAAUUUAAAUAAAUGUUUAGUAAUUAUUUUCUAUAAAUGUGAUUUUUAAUUAGUUUUUAAUAAAUGUUUAGUAAUUAUUUAUUAAUUAAAUUAUCUAAAUAUGAAAAUCACAUUUUUAAAACAAUUAUUAGAACUUGACUUGAAAUCCAAUGUUUAAAACAAUGAUUUAAAAAUGAAAAUCAUUUAUUUAAUUAAUAAUUAAUUAAAAUAAUUAACAAUCAGAUUUUCUAUAAGUGUGAUUGUUAGUUAAUUUUUCAGUAAUUGUUGAAUAAUUAAUUAAUAAUUGAUAAUUAAAUAUUGGAAAAUCCAUUAAUCAGUUUUUAUAUUAAGAACUUGAUUUAAAAUCCAAUGUUGAAAACAAUUAUUUAAAAAUUAAAAUCACUUAUUUAUUUAUUUAAUUAAUAAUUAAUUAUUUAAUUAUUUAAUUAAAUUUAAAUAAUUAAUUAAUUAAUAAUUAAAAGAAUUAACAAUCAGAUUUUCUAUAAGUCUGAUUGUUAGUUAGUUUUUAAAUAAUUGUUGAAUAAUCAAUUAUUAAUUAUUUAUUUAUUUAAUUAACUAAUAAUUAAUAAUUAAUUAAGAAAAUAUUGGAAAAUCCAUUAAUCAGUUUUUAUAUUAAGAACUUGAUUUAAAAUCCAAUGUUGAAAACAAUUAUUUAAAAAUUAAAAUCAUUUAUUUAAUUAAUAAUUAAUUAAAUAAUUAUUUAAUUAAAUUUAAAUAAUUAAUUAAUAAUUAAAAGAAUUAACAAUCAGAUUUUCUAUAAGUGUUAGUUAGUUUUUAAAUAAUUGUUGAAUAAUCAAUUAUUAAUUAAUUAUUUAUUUAAUUAACUAAUAAUUAAUUAAGAAAAUAUUGGAAAAUCCAUUAAUCAGUUUUUAUAUUAAGAACUUGAUUUAAAAUCCAAUGUUGAAAAUAAUUAUUUAAAAAUUAAAAUCAUUUAUUUAAUUAAAUUUAAAUAAUUAAAUAAUUAAAAUAAUUAACAAUCAGAUUUUCUAUAAGUGUGAUUGUUAGUUAGUUUUUAAAUAAUUGUUGAAUAAUCAAUUAUUAAUUAUUAAUUUAUUUAAUUAACUAAUAAUUAAUUAAGAAAAUAUUGGAAAAUCCAUUAAUCAGUUUUUAUAUUAAGAACUUGAUUUAAAAUCCAAUGUUGAAAACAAUUAUUUAAAAAUUAAAAUCAUUUAUUUAAUUAAUAAUUAAUUAAAUAAUUAUUUAAUUAAAUUUAAAUAAUUAAUAAUUAAAAGAAUUAACAAUCAGAUUUUCUAUAAGUGUGAUUGUUAGUUAGUUUUUAAAUAAUUGUUGAAUAAUCAAUUAUAAUUGUAUGUAUUUCAGUUGAAUGUCUGAAAUCCGGGUACCUGAUAAGGCUUUCUUAACUUUGAGCUCUUGUAGCCAAGAAUUCAGAGAUGGCCUGACGGCGUUUGUUCAAUAUGGUUUACGAAAAUGCCAUGGUUUAUAUUAGAAAGGAUAUUUACCAUGUCCAUGUAUAGAUUGUACUAAUAGAAAUAUGAUUCCAAUUGCCGAUUUAGGUCAACACAUCUUCAUGAAUGGUUGGUUGACACAUUAUGUUAUAUGGACGAAACAUGGUGAGCGAAUUUACGAUUCAGAACCAAACAUAGAAAAUAUAGUUGAAGAUGGACCAAAUGAAAUGCGUAAUUUGGUUUGCGUGGCGAUGGGUAGACCUGAUGAGAUUGAAAAUAUUCCAGAUAUUCAAGAUCAUAAUGAUGAAGAUCUUCCAGAACCGAAUGAAGAUCUUCCAGAUUUAAAUUAUGAUUCGACUUUUGUUAAUCGGUUGAAAGACGCUGAACAAGAAUUAUGGCCCGGUUGUACUGAAUUUACAAAGCUCUCUUUUAUUUUGGAAUUAUUUCAAUGUAAGUGUAUCAUUCAGUGGUCCGAUAAAUCAUUUCAGACGUUGUUAUCCAUUUUACGUCGAUCUCAUCCCAAUGGAACAGAAACGAUCCCGAAGAAUAUGUAUCAAGCUAAGUCAGUUGUUCGUGAUUUGGGUUUACGGUAUGAGAAAAUCGAUGCAUGUCGGAACGAUUGUAUCAUUUAUUGUAAAAAAUAUAAAGAUUGCAAAAGUUGUCCUACAUGUGGUGUUUCAAGGUGGUUGAACGAAGCUGAUGAUGAUGAAAAAAGUAAACGGAUUCCCGCCAAAUAUUUGAGACAUUUUCCGUUGAUACCACGACUUAAAAGAGAUGUACCUGCUCCUGCAGCUGGCGCUGACUCUCCUGUAGGGUGGAUAUUAGUUCCACGAGUUGCACCCUCUCUCGCUUGUUCUCCCUUUCCGAGCGCUCCCUCUCCUCUGCGCGCUCCCUUCGACGGAGCCUCUCAUGCUCCUUUUCCUUCGUUCUACUCUCCCUUCUCUCCCGGGACCGCGACCGGGACCGCGUGCUGCUCUCCCUGGGCGGAGGUGUGGGUUCGCUACGUCUGCUCCUCCUGGGCGACUUCCACCCGUACCUUAUCUCCUCCAAUUCCAUGUGUAACCUUUCCUCCUGGGCGUCCCACUCCUCGUUGGCUCUCAUCUCCUCCGAGUACCGGUCCCGUGAGUGGUGCGGCACUGGCCGGUAUUCCAACGCCCCUCGCUCGCGUCGCCUCGAGCAUUCUCCUACCUGGUAUCUGCUUCUUCCUGUCAUCCUCCUCCUUGUCUCCGACUAUUGCGUGUUAGUUCACGUCAGGUUCACCACUGUUGGUGUGUGGGCUCGCUGGAGUAAGCUCGCCGUCCAACCUAGUACAAGUGUUUCUCUCAGAAUUAUCAACCUCUUCCCCUGUUGGACCAGAGGUAUUUAUAGCCUUCCAUUGCUGUCCUUGGGCCUCGUGGGAUCGCCCGUCGGGCCCAUCCGUUCGCCCGGGCCGCCGACGGGGCUGGUUCGGUCCAUGGGCCGCGGUCCAUGGUACCAACACUAGGUAAGAAAGUAGAAUAGGUUGGCUUGGUGUUUAGAGAAUUUUGUUUUAGUUUCCCCCCUUCUUUCAUUCUGUUUUUUCCUUUCUUUCUUAUUUGUCAGUUUUCUUUGUUUUCUUCUUCUCUUAUUGAUUGUGUUAAUUUAUACGCGUAGAUUACAAAUUGUGAAAUAAAGAAGAAUUUGUUUUUUUUCUCUUUGUUUUUCUUUUGGUUUGAUGACUACUUGUUUUGUUGUUUGUAUUUCAGGUAAGGACAAGUAGCUAAGAGAAUAAAGAAUAGCACAACAAAGGGAAGGAGGUUGGUAUCAAUAUUGGAAGUUUAUCACCAGAAUACAAAACUAUCACCAAGAAAACGUAUCUUUUUCAAUUGAUUAAUAUCACUAUUUAUAAUACAAUGAUUUAUACUAACUACUACAAUUGUUUGUCCUAACUAACAUAUUAGUUAGUCAACUAACAUAUUGUUAGUUAACGGUUGUACUCAAGAUAUUGUUAACACGUCCCCUCAAACCGGAAGAGCUUCUUUGACGAGUUUGGAACAUAGCUCUUUGAAUACUUUAGGCUUAAGAGCCUUGGUUAAGAUGUCCGCCCUUUGAUGCGACUCUGGGAUAUGCUUUAUCACUAAUGUCCCAUUCUCUGUUUUCUCUUUUACAAAGUGGAGAUCCAUUGCGACGUGUCGAAACUUGG
rnacentral:lncRNA from 1 species